AGGGCACCACCAGGAGUGGAGCCUGCGGCUUAAUUUGACUCAACACGGGAAAACUUACCUGGUCCUGACACUAGAAGGAUUGACAGAUUGAUAGCUCUUUCUUGAUUUGGUGGAUGGUGGUGCAUGGCCGUUCUUAGUUGGUGGAGUGAUUUGUCUGGUUAAUUCCGAUAACGAACGAGACUCUAGCCUAUUAAAUAACACACAGAAUCUUGUCUUCUGUGGCGUUUCUUAAUGGGAUCAAGUGUGUUUAACGCUUUGAAACAGAGCAAUAACAGGUCUGUGAUGCCCUUAGAUGUUCGGGGCCGCACGCGCGCUACAUUGAGAGACAAAAUGAGUUCUCUAGUCUUUAAUAAGGCUAGUAAUCUUUGAAUGUUUUUCUUAAUGGGGAUAGGGGAUUGCAAUUGUGCCCCUUGAACGAGGAAUUCCCAGUAAGUGCUAGUCAUUAGCUAGUACUGAUUACGUCCCUGCCCUUUGUACACACCGCCCGUCGCUACUACCGAUUGAAUGGUUUAGUGAGAU
rnacentral:rRNA from 1 species